CCUCCUCCUUCACCAUCACCUCCCCCUCCUUAUGUGUACCAGUCACCACCUCCACCACCACAUGAGCAUAAGGCUCCACCUUAUGAAUACAAGUCACCUCCUCCACCUACACCAUCACCUCCGCCUCCUUAUGAGUACAAAUCACCACCUCCUCCUUCACCAUCACCACCUCCUCCUUAUGUGUACCAAUCUCCACCUCCACCACCACAUGAGCACAAGGCUCCACCAUAUCAUUACAACUCUCCUCCUCCACCCUCUUCCUCACCUCCACCUCCUUACUACUACAAAUCUCCCCCUCCACCCUCUCCCUCACCUCCACCACCUUACUACUACAAGUCCCCACCACCACCUUCACCAUCUCCACCCCCACCU
rnacentral:lncRNA from 1 species